GCACUGCUGAGAAGUCCCAAAUAGGACGAAACGACCGUCCAGCGC
rnacentral:hammerhead_ribozyme from 1 species